UACGGGGGGGGCAAGCGUUGUUCGGAAUUACUGGGCGUAAAGGGCUCGUAGGCGGCCAACUAAGUCAGACGUGAAAUCCCUCGGCUUAACCGGGGAACGGCCUCUGAUACUGGCUGGCUGGAGUUCGGGAGAGGGAUGCGGAAUUCCAGGUGUAGCGGUGAAAUGCGUAGAUAUCUGGAGGAACACCGGUGGCGAAGGCGGCAUCCUGGACCGACACUGACGCUGAGGAGCGAAAGCCGGGGGAGCAAACGGG
rnacentral:rRNA from 1 species